AAUGCCCUAGAAGUAUUGUAGAUUGACUGCUGUGUCACAUGCAUGUCAGUAGGUGGGAGAGAGGGGAGAGGCUAUGCUAAGCUUGAGUUUUCUGACCUGUGAUCCUCUAAAUGUUUUAGUAGCACAACAUU